GACGAACGCUGGCGGCGUGCUUAACACAUGCAAGUCGAACGGAAAGGCCCUGCUUUUGUGGGGUGCUCGAGUGGCGAACGGGUGAGUAACACGUGAGUAACCUGCCCUUGACUUUGGGAUAACUUCAGGAAACUGGGGCUAAUACCGGAUAGGAGCUCCUGCUGCAUGGUGGGGGUUGGAAAGUUUCGGCGGUUGGGGAUGGACUCGCGGCUUAUCAGCUUGUUGGUGGGGUAGUGGCUUACCAAGGCUUUGACGGGUAGCCGGCCUGAGAGGGUGACCGGCCACAUUGGGACUGAGGUACGGCGCAGACUCCUACGGGAGGCAGCAGUGGGGAAUAUUGCACAGUGGGCGGAAGCCUGAUGCAGCAACGCCGCGGGCGGGAUGACGGCCUUCGGGUUGUAAACCGCUUUCGCCUGUGACGAAGCGUGAGUGACGGUAAUGGGUAAAGAAGCACCGGCUAACUACGUG
rnacentral:rRNA from 1 species